CAAUUCUUUGUUGGUUUUGUUUCAUAUUUACCAGUGACGAUAUAAAUGCUCAUUCAUUCUUUAACUAAAAGCAGCAGAUAAAGCAUCCCUGCUUAUAUCCUGCCAUUUACAUAUUUAAAAACAGUUUAUUCCAGAUAUUAACAAAAUCAUCUAUUGCUGUAUUUCCAGGUUUAGGACAUACAGACACACAUUUGGUCCCACUGACUUUAAUCUCUACGUUAUUUUCUCUUAAAAUUUUUCUAACAUGUUAAAAGCUGUACUGCAGCUUUUGGAAAGAUUUAAUCCUGAAGAAAACACAUGGAAAAGACUUUUUUCCCUUUCCCACCCACAGCACAGAACACAGUGCUAAAUCCACUGGAUGCAUUUCCUGUGAGUUACACACACACAGAUAUAUUUACACACAAUGCAUUGGCUUCUUCUGCUAAACAAAAUGAUGUGGGAGGCGAGAUACGUGGCCAAGUCAGUCCUCCCUGCAUCUGCUGCUGCAGGAGGAAACACAGAGGACUGCAGGGACCUCAAGUACAGAACAAAAGACAAAUAUCAUGAGAUCAGUGUCACCAUCCCACGUCUGAACAAUCACCAGUGACUCUCCAACUGCUCGGCCUCAUGUUCCUGUACUCCACGCAUACGCAGCACGGAUGGAGGAGGAGGAGGACGCUGUUGUUGAUUGCAGCCUUUUGACUGAAUCAGCAUAAACACACUGAUGAGGGGAAUCCUUCACGCUGCUUUACGUAAGUGGUCUUGUUAGAGAUGUUUUCACACAUCCUCUCUGUACAGCAACAAGAACCUCCACAAACAGCCUCUGACACAUUUGCACUAAUUCAGUCAGAAGCGAUCAGACAUGUUUUUCUUUUCUUUCCUUUUGCAUUUGUAGAAAUUUUCAGAGUUUCUGCACUUUUAACCUCAAACCACCAAGAUUUCAUACAGGAAUUCUUUCUCACUGACUCUGUUUGUGCUAACUGCAACUUCACUGUUUCCUUCAUCUACGGCAGUCUUGGAGGAGUUCCCAGAGCUGCUGAGUACGUGUUGGCCCUUUUGCCUCUGUGGUCCAUCUCAUCCCAAACCAUCUCGACUGGGUUUAGGUCAGGUGACCGUGGAGCCUAGGACAUCUGACACAGCACUCCAUCACUCCCCUUCUUGGUCAAACAGCCCUUACACAGCCUGGAGGUGUGUUUGGGGUCAUUGUCCUGUUGAAAAAUAAAUGAGGGUCCACUAAACACAAACCAGAUGGAAUGGCAUGUCACUGCAGGAUGCUGUGGUAGCACACCACCUCCUCCAUGCUUCACGGUGGGAACCUGUAGAGCAAGGCCAAGGGUUUGCAGCGCUGUCAAAGCCAAGAUUUUUUUCUUUCGCAAUUCUUCAUAAUUCCAAAUAUCUUGCUUCAUGUAAUUGAUAUAUCUACAAUCUAGAAAGUAUUAAAAACAAAGAAAAACCAUCAAAAGAGAAGGCGUGUCCAAACUUUUGACUGGUGUGAAUAUUAUAAUAGUAAUAAUAUCUUCAACAGUCAGUGCCUCUUGUCAGUUUCUGUAUAAGGUCAAUACUUUUGGUCAGAAUUGUGGAUUCUGAAUGUUAUCAAAAAGCAUCAUGACCUGGGAAUAUUACCAGAACAACCCGAGUGUUGGUGUUGAGAUGAGGUUUGAGAUGAUGUCAUUUGUUUAA